CCGGAAGGGGGAUCCCCGCCCCCGGUACACUGCGAAGACUGACGGGGAGCCCCAUAUCAGCGGACUGUGGGCGGGGGCCGGGGCGAGAGGGCCGCGGCACCGGAGGGUGAGCGCCGCUGAGCGCACGCUCAGAGCAGACGGCCCGCAGGAGGCAGGAGAUGAUGGUCUACAACCCGGGGAGCUGGCAGCCAGAGCGGGGGGGAAGGUAGUCACGGAGGGGAGACAGGGCUACAGGAGGUGGAGAUCCUGGAGGUGACAGCAAGGAGAGUACGCAGCGGCAGCGGCAGCGGCAGCGGCAGCGGCAGCGGCAGCGGCGAGGGGCGGCUUCGGCGCGGACGCCGGGCGGUCGGGGGAGAGGAGAGCAGGGCAACGCGGCGGCGCGGCAGGAGGGCCCGGCCGGGCGGGGGGUGCCAUGUCUCGAGAGCGGCCCCCCCGCACCGACAUCCCCCGCAACCUGAGCUUCAUAGCCGCGCUGACAGAGCGUGCCUACUACCGCAGCCAGCGGCCCAGCCUCGAGGAGGAGGAGCCGGAGGUGGAGCCCGGCGAGGGCGGGACGCGCCUGGGGGCCCGAUCCCGCGCUCACGCCCCGAGUCGGGGUCGCCGCGCUCUUUCUGCUCCCGCCGGAGGCGGCGGCGUCCCGGCGCCCCGCAGCCGCAGCCCCGACACCCGCAAGAGAGUGCGUUUCGCCGACGCGCUUGGGCUGGAGCUGGCCGCGGUGCGCCGCUUCCGCCCCGGAGAGCUGCCCCGGGUGCCUCGCCACGUGCAAGUGCAGCUGCAGAGGGACGCCCUCCGCCACUUCGCGCCGUGCAGGCCUCGCGCCCGCGGCCUCCAGGAGGCGCGCGCCGCCCUGGAGCCGGCCCGGGAGCCCGGCUUCGCCGCCCGCUUGCAGGCGCAGCGCAUCUGCCUGGAACGCGCCGAGGCGGGCCCGUUGGGCGUGGCCGGGAGCGCGCGCGUGCUGGACCUGGCCUACGAGAAGCGCGUGAGCGUGCGCUGGAGCGCCGACGGCUGGCGGAGCCAACGCGAAGCGGCCGCCUCCUACGCCGGCCCGGCCCCGCCCCCGCCGCGCGCGGACCGCUUUGCCUUCCGCCUGCCCGCGCCACCCAGUGGGGGCGCCCUGCUUUUCGCCUUGCGCUACCGCGUGACCGGCCACGAGUUCUGGGACAACAACGGCGGCCGCGACUAUGCGCUACGUGGGCCCGAGCACCCCGGGAGUGGCGGAGCCCCGGAGCCCCAGGGCUGGAUCCACUUUAUCUGAGCCACCUGCGGCCGACGGCGGGCAAACCAAAGGCACCCAGGGGCUGGGGGAGCCCGAAGAUUUGGCGGGGAGGAAUGAGAGAAACCGAGAUUGGCUGGGAGCUGUCCGAGAGAGUCAAUUGGGGGAGGGAGAAAUCAAAGGGGUGUGGGCGGUGGGCGGCAACAGCCAAGGUCGGGGACGUCGGGGACGUCGGGAUGGGAAGACAGGAGUAGGAUGGGACAGGAACCCAAGGCAUAGAAGAAGGGAUUAGAGGGAUUAGAAAAAAAGCAGAAGAUUGGUGUCGUGAGCUAGUGCUGGGAGAAAGGAAGCGGAUUCGGCAGGCCUAGGCAGUGAAGGUUAGCUACCUCCUUGAGAUUGAGUAGGAGCCCACCUGACUAAAGUCAUUUGGAUUGCUCAUUCCUCUUCUAACCCGCCAAUUGCCACCUCAGGUCCCGCAGUCCUGCGCAUCCUAGCUUUAAACUCAGCCAUAAUUGCCUUGCGUAAGUCCCAGGAACUUGGCCAUUGCUCCUCAGUCCCAGGCGUUAUGACACGAUUCCUUGGUUAUCCCUGACUGGCCUGGGGAGUGAUGGCAGACCGCAAUCAGAGCUCCUUCGUCCUCCUCCAGGCAGCCCUGGGGAUUAAAAUGAAGGCGAAACCAACUCCAGGCCUGUCCUUGUAGCCAAAUAAUGUCGUGCCUGAGGAGUUGGUACACUCAGGGACUUCCAGAAAAAUGCCAGCCUUAUACCUUCCUAGGGUGCCUUUUAAUGACCUCUAAGCACUUUAUGCGCUGUAUCUGUCAUGGAAUAGUGAAUCACGAGAAUCACUCUCAUGAUUCUGCCUCAGAAAGACUCACUGACUAGCCGUAUUACUUCGGGCAAAGUUAACUUUACCUUUCUGGGCCCCAGUUUUCAUCUUGGAAAAUUAGAUCUUGGCGAGGUGAUCUCACAGUCUAUUCUUGCUUUGAUAUUUUAUGAUUUAUGAGUGGCAGAGUGUAGAUUAGAAGCCCCAAUCUCCAACCUACAGUUGGAGUGCUACAGUUCAGAACACACAGCACUUUCAGCAUUUGGGUAGGGCUGAGGAUGAAUAUUUGACACAAAUAUUCAGAGCCCAGGAAGCAUCUCAUAACCAGACUUCAGCCUGAUGGUAUUCCAGGGCUUCUUCCAAACUGCAGUUCCUCCUCUGCCCCGUGGUUUUUGCUCUUGACCCCCACAGACUUCCAGUCUAGGUCCUUUGAGACAGUUUUGGGCAGCUGCAUCUCUGUUGGGGAAAAUAAUGUUUGGGAGCCCCAGAGAUGAAACCAUGUGAGGCUCUCUUUAGGAUAAAGGAUUGUGGAUACGAGAAAUGGAAAACAUUUCAAAUCAAGAAUCAAAGCCAAUUAAGUGGCACCAGAAGAUGGCAGUCUGUUCCAUACCCUGAGCAAGUAGAGUGGGAAAGCUGGACUCUGCUAUCACAGUCAUGCCUUAGGUCUCCCCUCCUGGCUAACCUCUGCUAGUAGUUUUUCCUUUCCUUUCUUGCCCUAUUCCUAAGCUUUUUCCUUUCCUUGUCCCUCUCUCUCAUCACUUUCAUUUUCCUUUUAGCAUACAGGGUAUUCACCUUCGUUUUCUCUUUUCCAUUUGCCUCCAUCUUCGUCCUUGUUGAUCUCUGCUAUUCCUUCUCCCUCCAGAAGGGGUGGAGAACCUUCUUCCCUUCUCCAAGACCAUGGUUGAUCCACCUUCCUUCCUCAGGCUCCUUCUUGACAGUCUUCUAGAAGGGAGAAGAGGGAAAGAAGCAGUUCCUGAUGCAGAUGAACAGCUGCUCCCAGGUAACCAGUUCCCCACACCCUUUUUUUAUCUGUUACUACUUUCUUAAAAAUUUCUGAAUCCCCCUCUUCCUUAUUACCAAGUCAGAGAGUGCAUGCACAUGGGCCCAUACAUGCAUUCAGAACAGAGUAUGGGGCUUGUUACCAUGCCCCUCCUAUCCAAAGCCUUAGUCUUUUGAAGGAAGAUGGCCAAAAAAGAGGAAUCUCGAGUCGCUCCUCAAAGAAAUGCCGGUUUAAACACCAUCCUUACCUGAUGAAGAAAACAAAAAAUUUCAUGCAUCUUGUGGGUCAUCUUCAGGUCAAAGUUCCAGCAGAGUGAAGAAAGAAAUUCCUGGAAGCCACCAAACAAUGCGCUUUUUAGUCAUCGAUGAAGAGCCCAAGGGAGGACGAUGGAGAAGGAGGAGCCUGGGUUGAGGCUCAAUGUAUAAUAAUCUCUUGCCUAAUGUGUAUGCAUUAUUGUCAUGUUGUAUUAACAAUCAUAAUCGCUCACCUUUACUUAGCAACUAAAAUCUGGUGUCGUGCAUGCAUUAUAAUCCUCAGGACAACUCUGUCAGUUGAGAAAUAUUAUCCCUGUUUCAGAGAUGAGAAAACAGGUCAGAAAAGCUAAGUAAUUUGUUCCAAGCUCACGUCUCUGGUAAAUGGCAUAGUUAGGAUCUCCAGAGUUUCUAUGCAUAGCCACGUUACUGUAUUUUUUACUUUAAACAAAACUGAAAACUGCCAUAUAUAAUCUUUUAUUAGGAAAAGAACACAGUUUCUAAUUGCUCUGCCUUCCCAUCCUCCCAGUCUUCCAAACUGGCUCAGAGAAGGCAUAGUACUGAGGGUCCCAAGCUCCAUGCAGGAGCUUGCUGCUCUCUCCUGUACCAGUGUUCUGGCUCUGCAGAAUCAGCAAGGUACCACACUGCCUGCCUGCUAGAGAACUUGGGAACCCAUUUGAACUCCACCUUUUCUGUACAUUGAUUGGGAUUCUCUCCUGGCUGUAACCAACCCACACUUGUUGGUGUGACACCCAACUCCCCGGACUAGUCUGGAACUGACCAGUCCCUAAAGUUUCCACUAAAAGGUAUCCCUGACUCGGACAACUGCCAAAUGGUCUGUGCUUGGGUCCUUUCUGCAAGCCUGGGUAUUAUUGAGUGGAAAUGUAAACUGGUUGGAGACAAGGAACCAAGGAUAAUCCAUUUUUCCCUGAGCUCUGUCUGUAGGAAGUACCAUGGCUCACCCACCCCCCCAUUCUCAGCUUUAGAGAACCAACACCUGAAUCUUCUAGUUCUUCCCAUAUAGAGCUGCCCCAGGGCCUGGGGGUAAGCUGGUGGUGUAAUCUGGAAUGGGAAAUACUAGAAGUUGAAGCAAUCUUUAGAGAUGUGUUACAUAUUAGGCAUUGGGAUGAGUCCUUUCCCCUAAAGGCUGGUGACUAUACGAACUGGAACAAUUUAACAUAUAAUACGUCAGCUGUGGACGAGACAGCACUGUAAGAGAAAACAUUACCCUGGUUAGGGGCUUGAACCCUUGAAGCAACACAGCUGGAACAUUGCCCAUUUCUCUCAUCUAGACCUCAGAUGUUUCCCUACACCAACCUGUCUUAACACCUAUGAGCCUUCUUUUUGUACCUUGUUUCUCUUUAUGAAUGCAGCUCAUUAUUUCUCUUCGUAGUAAGUCCUAACUCCUGAACUUUUCAGUCUAACACCCGCCUUCCUUUGCUUCUAACACCUGUGUUUCUCUGGAGCUCCUCUGGAUCCCUGCAAUCUGCAAGUCAUAUAAUCAGAGACCUGGAAAAGCUUAUCUUUAGAGAUCACUGGGGUCCCUGCUUCAGUACAGAUGAGAACACAGGUCUGGAGAUGGAGUGACUUCAGCAGGGCCAGAGAAUUUGUUAGUGCAGCUGGAGAUGGGGCUUAACCCCAGCCUUCCUGACCAUAUCCCACUCCCAGGCUAGAAAACAGGCUGCUGCACAAUCAGACCUGGGGUUUUUCAUGGCAAGGAUAAUAUCACAAAUGUUUCAUUUUCUGCUGCUAGUUUCCACUCCCUUUUCUAUCCCGGCAUAAAAAGAAACAAAAGGCACUUGUAGUUUUUUCUCUGUUCUCCCAAGCCUUCGCGCUUUGGGUGAUAUUGCUAAGGAACAGUGAAGUUGCUAAAAAAAAAAAAAAAAAAAAGACUGAAUAACCCACCCAUUGACUAGCUAACCUGGAGAGGAAUUGCAAGUUUGCUAUGUGAAUCCCCCCAAACCACAGUUCUCAUCAGGCCCUUGCAGAGUGUCCUCAUUCCCUUCACAGCACAGCCCUGUUCUCUGGGCCCCAAUCCCACCAGCGCUGAGCCUCACUUCAGCUUCCUCAUGCAACUGCCCUCCCUUCUGGUUAAGAGGCCUCAUGUUUGAAAUAAAGAGCACCCACACUAACGUU